rnacentral:rRNA from 1 species
GAGUGGCGGACGGGUGAGUAACGCGUGGGUAACCUGCCUUGUACAGGGGGAUAACAGUUGAAAACAGCUGCUAAUACCGCAUAAGCGCACAGCACUCGCAUGAUGCAGUGUGAAAAACUCCGGUGGUAUAAGAUGGACCCGCGUCUGAUUAGCUAGUUGGUGAGGUAAUGGCUCACCAAGGCAACGAUCAGUAGCCGGCUUGAGAGAUUGAACGGCCACAUUGGGACUGAGACACGGCCCAGACUCCUACGGGAGGCAGCAGUGGGGAAUAUUGCACAAUGGGGGAAACCCUGAUGCAGCGACGCCGCGUGAAGGAAGAAGUUUUUCGGUUUGUAAAGUUCUGUCAUCAGGGAAGAUAAUGACGGUACCCAACUAGGAAGCGCCGGCUAACUACGUGCCAGCAGCCGCGGUAAUACGUAGGUCACAAGCGUUGUCCGGAAUUACAGGGUGUAAAGGGAGCGCAGGCGGGAAGACAAGUCGGAAGUGAAAUCUCUGGGCUCAACUCAUAAACUGCUUUCAAAGCUGUUUUUCUUGAGUACUGCAGAGGUAGGCGGAAUUCCUGGUGUAGCGGUGGAAUGCGUAGAUAUUGGGAGGAACAUCAGUGGCGAAGGCGGCUUACUGGGCUCCAACUGACGCUGAGGCUCGAAAGUGUGGGUAGCAAACAGGAUUAGAUACCCUGGUAGUCCACACCGUAAACGAUGAUUUCUAGGCGUUGGAGGAUUGACCCCUUCAGCCCCGCCGUUAGCUCAUUCAGUAAUCCACCUGGGGAGCACGACCGCAAGUCUGAGACUCAAAGGAAUUGCCGCGCGCCCGCACAAGCAGUGGAGUAUGUGGUUUAAUUCGACGCGACCCGAAGCACCUCACCACGUCUUGACAUCCCUCCAGUGGCACAGCAAUAUGUUUUCUGCUCGGAGCACGGAGACAGCUGGUGCAUGGUCGUCGUCAGUUCGUGUCGUGAGAUGUUGGGCUAACUCCCGCAACGAGCGCAACCCUCAGGGUCCGUCAGUACGCAAGAGGCCUUUGGCCAGACUGCCGUGGACAAACCGGAGGAAGGUGGGGAAGACGUCAAAUCAUCCUGCCCCUUAUGACUUGGGCUACCCCCGUAGUACAAAGGCGUUAAACAAAGAGAAGCGAGACCGCGAGGUGGAGCAAAUCUCAGAAACAACGUCCCAGUUCGGACUGCAGUCUGCAACUCGCCUGCACGAAGUCGGAAUUGCUAGUAAUCGCGGAUCAGCAUGCCACGGUGAAUACGUUCCCGGGCCUUGCACUCACCGCCCGUCA